UACGUAGGGUGCGAGCGUUGUCCGGAAUUACUGGGCGUAAAGAGCUCGUAGGUGGUUUGUCGCGUUGUUCGUGAAAACUCACAGCUCAACUGUGGGCGUGCGGGCGAUACGGGCAGACUAGAGUACUGCAGGGGAGACUGGAAUUCCUGGUGUAGCGGUGGAAUGCGCAGAUAUCAGGAGGAACACCGGUGGCGAAGGCGGGGUCUCUGGGCAGUAACUGACGCUGGAGGAGCGAAAGCGUGGGGAGCGAACAGG
rnacentral:rRNA from 1 species